rnacentral:rRNA from 1 species
AGAACCAACAGGGAUUGCCUCAGUAACGGCGAGUGAAGCGGCAACAGCUCAAAUUUGAAAGCUGCCUCCAGGCCGCGUUGUAAUUUGUAGAAGAUGCUUUGGGUGUUGGCCCGGUCUAAGUUCCUUGGAACAGGACGUCAUAGAGGGUGAGAAUCCCGUAUGUGACUGGUGCCCUCCCCCGUGUAAAGCUCUUUCGACGAGUCGAGUUGUUUGGGAAUGCAGCUCAAAAUGGGUGGUAAAUUUCAUCUAAAGCUAAAUAUUGGCCAGAGACCGAUAGCGCACAAGUAGAGUGAUCGAAAGAUGAAAAGCACUUUGGAAAGAGAGUUAAACAGUACGUGAAAUUGUUGAAAGGGAAGCGCUUGCAACCAGACUUGCGCGCUAUCGAUCAUCCGAAGUUCUCUUCGGUGCACUCGAUGGUGUUCAGGCCAGCAUCGGUUUCGGUGGUGGGAUAAAGGCCGUGGGAAUGUGGCUCUUCGGAGUGUUAUAGCCCACGGUGCAAUGCUACCUACCGGGACCGAGGACCGCGCUUCGGCUAGGAUGCUGGCGUAAUGGUUGUAAGCGACCCGUCUUGAAACACGGACCAAGGAGUCUAACAUCUAUGCGAGUGUUUGGGUGUCAAACCCAUCCGCGUAAUGAAAGUGAACGGAGGUGAGAACUCUUUAGGGUGCAUCAUCGACCGAUCCUGAUGUCUUCGGAUGGAUUUGAGUAAGAGCAUAGCUGUUGGACCCGAAAGAUGGUGAACUAUGCGUGAAUAGGGUGAAGCCAGAGGACACUCUGGUGGAGGCUCGCAGCGGUUCUGACGUGCAAAUCGAUCGUCAAAUUUGCGCAUAGGGGCGAAAGACUAAUCGAACCAUCCGUAUGGCAUCGUAACCUAGUUGAUGUACCUUUGCUAUAUCUACAGUUUGUUACAGCUGCUAGGUGCUAAGAGAUGCAGAAACAGUACGUCUAGUCCCUGACCAGGGCACACUCUCAAAUUGUUACGGGGACAUCCUGUCAGACUUCUAAGCUACCGCGUCCUAUCCUCGAA